rnacentral:rRNA from 1 species
ACGUAGGAGGCGAGCGUUAUCCGGAUUUACUGGGUGUAAAGCGUGCGCAGGCGGUUCGCUAAGACAGGUGUGAAAUCCCCGGGCUUAACCUGGGAAUGGCGCUUGUGACUGGCGGGCUGGAGUACGGCAGAGGGGGGUGGAAUUCCACGUGUAGCAGUGAAAUGCGUAGAGAUGUGGAGGAACACCGAUGGCGAAGGCAGCCCCCUGGGAUGACACUGACGCUCAUGUACGAAAGCGUGGGUAGCAAACAG